GAGGGCUAUCGUAACGCGGGUGCAUAGAAAUAGGGGCAGCGAGACUACCCAAAUGAUGAGUGGGGAGCAUGCUAUAUUCUUUUUAAAAGUGACCAUGGCCGGGAUUUCAAGUUAAUCCAUUGUUGGGAAGAACUACGCAAAUACACAAAAUGACAUCUUUCCAUCGAUGAAUGACAAAACCGAGGAGACGGUAGAAGAGGUAGGCCUGCAAAUUCUGGACUACAAGCAUCAAGCACUCUAUCCAGAAUGCCAUCAGUCAAUCUUUCUGUAUCUUCACGUCCAGGUUUGGAUGGCAUAGGUGAGUCUAGCAAUAAUAUUAGCAUGCCUACAACCCCUACAUCUGGUACACGCAACACUGCUUCCGAAAAUUCACAGCCUCCUCACGUCCCAUUGGAAAGGCAUAUUGAACGACCAUUAGGGCAAAAAUCUGCAAAGGAUAAACGCCGUCGUUCUGUGGGUACAAGCUCCCAAGCCUCUGAUGCUGCAAGUGAAAGAUUGCAUUCAAUCAUCUGUGCUUGGAAGCAGAAAUCUUAGUCAAGAUUAUAAUCAAUGAAACAAAUAAAUGAAGAGCGACAGUUCCAUGCUAUUAAGUUUGCUAAGCUUGAGGAGAUUCAAAAGGGUAUACAAAUAACGAAAGAUCUAGUGAAUACUGAGAAGGAUUUGCUGUCCUUGAUGCCAGAACUCCCUACAGAUCAGGUUGCUGCUAAAGUCAUUGCUAGAAUGAGGCAGCUUGAUGAGUUGGACAAAGAGCACCAACCUAAGCAUCAUAUACUUGUUAUGAUAUGUUACAUAUAUUACAUGCCGCUUGUCAAUGAAAUAUGAAUUAUGGAUUUUGAUAAUUAUGACUGUUGGAAGUUGUUGCUUUCAAUUGUUGUGGUUUUGUUUGUC